UACGUAGGGGGCAAGCGUUGUCCGGAUUUAUUGGGCGUAAAGAGCGUGUAGGCGGCCACACAGGUCUGCUGUGAAAACUCGAGGCUCAACCUCGAGCUGUCGGUGGAAACCGUGUGGCUAGAGUCCGGAAGAGGAGAGUGGAAUUCCCGGUGUAGCGGUGAAAUGCGCAGAUAUCGGGAAGAACACCCGUGGCGAAGGCGGCUUUCUGGUCUGUAACUGACGCUGAGGCGCGAAAGCGUGGGGAGCAAACAGG
rnacentral:rRNA from 1 species